ACGCAGCAAAUGUUGGAAUACAAACAGAAAAGCUUGAAAACCUCCGUAUAUCAAUAGCAAAGGGCUCUCCAAUGUGGGAAACUCUUGAUCGUUGUGUCGAUGUUAUUGAUUCCCAGUCAUUGGAAUUAUUGGUACCUCGGGUCGCUAAUGUGGGAAACUCUUGAUCGUUGUGUCGGUGUUAUUGAUUCCCAGUCAUUGGAAUUAUUGGUACCUCGUGUUGCUCAGUUAGUUCGUGUUGGUGUUGGAUUAAAUACCAGGUAUAUUGCAGGUUCCACAUGGUAA
rnacentral:lncRNA from 1 species